AUGCGUGUUCUUCUCCUCCAGGUGUGUCAGGCUCAGGUGAAGAGCAGAGGAGAUGGCUCGAUGCAGACGCCGACGGUCUGGAAUUUUCUUUGCACCAUUUCUCUGCUUCUCCUCGCUGGAAAACCACGGUAGCGCAAUGCUUGUUAAAGCGAAAAUUGAGAAUGAACAAAAGUAUGUGAAGAUCAAUGAACCGAGCCUGGAAGAAUUCUUGAAUAGCCCUUAUUGAUCUGCUGUUUAAAAAGGAAAAAAAAAGGGAGAAAUUAGCUCAUAAUUUUUAAGUCAAAAUGUUUUAUUAUUUUAAACACAAGGGAUCUCAUAUGCCUUUUAUGUCUAGUGGGGAGUGCUUUUUGUUAACAGAGGAAAAAGCCUAAAAGAAUCUUAAGUUUCUCUUCACUGGUUAAUGAUGAACAAUAUCAAUGGGACCUUUUUUCUGGGAGGUUUAACUCUGAUUAUCUAGCACGAAUAAUGUUUUUUUCCAGUAACAAUGUCGAUUCAGUAAUUUUGACCUUAGAGUGAUAAUGUCAUGUUGGUUUCUCCAUAGCUUUCACAAAGUUCUCUAUUCCACCUGUAAGUGACAGUGAAAUGAUUUAUUUCUUGGAAAAAAUUUAUGUUUAUUUCAGAUAAUGUAUUUUAAGUUGUUUAGUUCACACUUUGAGGUUUAUGUAAAAUUAUUGUAUUUUAUUUCUUUUAAAACUAUUUGUUGAAAGUUAUCGCGAGAUUUGCGUAUAUAAGAAAGGCAGCGAGAUUUGCAUAUGAGAGAAGGAGCAGAAAUCUGGAAAAGAGCUACAAGUAGCAGUCUCGUAUUUCCUGUAGCUGUCAAGGUAUUUGUAUUUAUGUUUGUAAUAUUUUGUAAAUUUAUUGGUUAUGGUGUUUUAAUUACUUAAUAUUUUAAUUUAGAGUGGACAACGAAAAAUUAAUCUGUUAAAGACCUCCAAAGUGGCAGGCGGUUACGAGGUAACUUUUGUUAAAGUAUGUGUCACCUGACUGUCUGUAAAUGUAUCUAUUUCUAAAGCUUGUCUUUAUUUCUGUAGUUUUCACUGUGUUUAUUAAAGAGCCCGUUUGAAGGAA